rnacentral:tRNA from 1 species
GCCGAGGUGGCGGAAUUGGUAGACGCGCUGGCUUCAGGUGCCAGUGAGCAUUUAGCUCGUGGAGGUUCAAGUCCUCUCCUCGGCACCA